CAACAGGGAUUGCCCUAGUAACGGCGAGUGAAGCGGCAACAGCUCAAAUUUGAAAGCUAGCCUUCGGGUUCGCAUUGUAAUUUGUAGAGGAUGAUUUGGGGAAGCCGCCUGUCUAAGUUCCUUGGAACAGGACGUCAUAGAGGGUGAGAAUCCCGUAUGUGACAGGAAAUGGCACCCUAUGUAAAUCUCCUUCGACGAGUCGAGUUGUUUGGGAAUGCAGCUCUAAAUGGGAGGUAAAUUUCUUCUAAAGCUAAAUAUUGGCGAGAGACCGAUAGCGCACAAGUAGAGUGAUCGAAAGAUGAAAAGCACUUUGGAAAGAGAGUUAAAAAGCACGUGAAAUUGUUGAAAGGGAAGCGCUUGCAAUCAGACUUGUUUAAACUGUUCGGCCGGUCUUCUGACCGGUUUACUCAGUUUGGACAGGCCAGCAUCAGUUUCGGCGGCCGGAUAAAGGCUCUGGGAAUGUGGCCUCCACUUCGGUGGAGGUGUUAUAGCCCAGGGUGUAAUACGGCCAGCCGGGACUGAGGUCCGCGCUUCGGCUAGGAUGCUGG
rnacentral:rRNA from 1 species